UGCAACAGGUGGAAAACCUCCGGUACGUGGGGGCUCAAUGGACUGGUAUGACCCGGCUGUACGGACGUUGAGACUCUCGGAUCCGGUAUGAGACUUGCAGGUGGCCUUGGUUUCUUGGACAGGCACGGAGGGCUAAUUCCCUACUGGUUGACAUGCGGAACUUGUUUAACUUCUUCCGGGGUGGUUCUAUCCGUUGAUUCUUGGAGACAGAUUGUCUGGAUGCAUUGGUUCUGGUUAAUUGAGCAACUACAGUUAUUCAGAUAAACAGGUCGUAGACGACAGGUGAAACAACUUUAACAACGGUAAACGGUCCGGAAAACUUCGGAGC